GUCGUGGCUUUGGUCCGUGGAGCCGGGGCCACGGGCGAGGAAGACCAAGGAGCCGGGAAUCCAGGGCGCCAGCUGGGUUUCCCUCGGGCCGUGGACGGCCCCGACGGCGGCCUCUGCGACUGAGCGCCUGCAGGUUCGCUGGGUUUUGCUUGCGAAGAUGCGGAAGCUCAUCUGUCUUCUCCAUACAUGGACCCGAGGGGUGUGAGUCCUCAACUGUGGCGGCUUCUGGGAAUUUUUAUAAGCGGCAAAGGAUCCUCAGGCGCCAGAAGUUUGGCCGCGUGAACCUUGAUUUCCCCGGUUCUCAGCGCCUGAGGGCAGCUGGGAGGACGGACCUCAGAGAUACCGACCGAAACCCUGAAGAAUGCAGUGAUGGACGGCCCAGGACGCGUCUCCAAGUCGAGGCCGAGCUUGAGCUGCUCGUCGCUGAAGCUGGCGAGUCGUCCCUGAGGACAGUCUGUGCUCGUGUGUGUGUUGAAAACACUUCAUUAUAA
rnacentral:lncRNA from 1 species